rnacentral:lncRNA from 1 species
GUGGAGGGGUAAUAGAUAUAUACAGGGAGAACCAGAUCAAUGUGGAGGGGUAAUAGAUAUAUACAGGGAGUACCAGAUCAAUGUGGAGGGGUAAUAGAUGUAUACAGGGAGAACCAGUACCAGAUCAAUGUGUAGGGGUAAUAGAUAUAUACAGGGAGAACCAGAUCAAUGUGGAGGGGUAAUAGAUAUAUACAGGGAGUACCAGAUCAAUAUCAAUGUGUAGGGGUAAUAGAUAUAUACAGGGAGAACCAGAUCAAUGUGGAGGGGUAAUAGAUAUAUACAGGGAGUACCAGUACCAGAUCAAUGUGUAGGGGUAAUAGAUAUAUACAGGGAGAACCAGAUCAAUGUGUAGGGGUAAUAGAUAUAUACAGGGAGAACCAGAUCAAUGUGGAGGGGUAAUAGAUAUAUACAGGGAGUACCAGAUCAAUGUGUAGGGGUAAUAGAUAUAUACAGGGAGAACCAGUACCAGAUCAAUGUGGAGGGGUAAUAGAUAUAUACAGUGAGAACCAGAUCAAUGUGGAGGGGUAAUAGAUAUAUACAGUGAGAACCAGAUCAAUGUGUAGGGGUAAUAGAUAUAUACAGGGAGUACCAGAUCAAUGUGUAGGGGUAAUAGAUAUAUACAGGGAGAACCAGAUCAAUGUGUAGGGGUAAUAGAUAUAUACAGGGAGUACCAGAUGAAUGUGGAGGGGUAAUAGAAAGUAUUGAGACUUUAUUCUAAAAUUGAUUAAAUU